UACGAGGGGGGCGAGCGUUUGUUCGGAAUUAUUGGGCGUAAAGGGUGCGUAGGCGGUUUGGUAAGUCUUAUGUGAAAUCUAUGGGCUCAACUCAUAGACUGCAUGAGAAACUGCCGGGCUUGAGUAUGGGAGAGGUGAGUGGAAUUCCUGGUGUAGCGGUGAAAUGCGCAGAUAUCAGGAAGAACACCCGUGGCGAAGGCGGCUCUCUGGAACGGUACUGACGCUGAGACGCGAAAGCGUGGGGAGCGAACAGG
rnacentral:rRNA from 1 species